GGCAUACUCUACCCCCUUGCCAUCAUUGCAAAGACCCAGCAGAGUCUUUGGAAUUCGGUCAUCCAUUUCUCCUCACAAGGGUGCUCACAAUUUUUUUUUGAGAUCUUCCAAUGACGAUAGGUGGUUCUCCUAGUGGGAAUCAUUCGCAUGGGGCUUUGUACUGUAUUUGUUGUCGUUUUGUUUAUGUGAUGCCAUUCUCAUUCGAAAGGCGAGCAGAUGUCUUUGAAUCUUUUGUCUGUUCUUUGUUGGUUCUUGCGAAAUAGAUGAGAGGGUGAUUGGGCUACUCACAUUCUUCUCGUAGGGAAUGAGGGCGACUAGCUACUAACUGGUUAUGAUGACUUCUCAUAUAUCCACCAAGGCCUUGGUUCGACAUAUGUGCUUAUUGUGUUUGAGCUUGAUUAGGCUCUUGGUGACUUCUCAGGGGGAAUUGAGGAUUCUUUGUAGAGCUCACUUAUCCCUACUAUUGUUUACCUAGUUAACAUCUCUUUUCCCUUUUGAUGUUUUUUUAAUACAACAAUUAUUAUAAUACUUUAAAUUAAUUGAA